rnacentral:rRNA from 1 species
GACAGAGGGUGCAAGCGUUGCUCGGAAUUAUUGGGCGUAAAGCGCACGUAGGCGGUCUCGCAAGUCGGGUGUGAAAUCCCGGGGCUCAACCCCGGAAGUGCACUCGAAACUACGAGACUUGAGUCCCGGAGAGGGUAGUGGAAUUCCUGGUGUAGAGGUGAAAUUCGUAGAUAUCAGGAGGAACACCGGUGGCGAAGGCGGCUACCUGGACGGUGACUGACGCUGAGGUGCGAAAGCGUGGGGAGCAAACAGG